rnacentral:rRNA from 1 species
AACGAACGCUGGCGGCAGGCCUAACACAUGCAAGUCGAACGCCCUAGCAAUAGGGAGUGGCAGACGGGUGAGUAACACGUGGGAACCUUCCCUGUAGUACGGAAUAGCCCAGGGAAACUUGGAGUAAUACCGUAUAAGCCCGAGAGGGGAAAGAUUUAUCGCUACAGGAUGGGCCCGCGUCGGAUUAGCUAGUUGGUGAGGUAAUGGCUCACCAAGGCGACGAUCCGUAGCUGGUUUGAGAGAACGACCAGCCACACUGGGACUGAGACACGGCCCAGACUCCUACGGGAGGCAGCAGUGGGGAAUAUUGGACAAUGGGCGCAAGCCUGAUCCAGCCAUGCCGCGUGAGUGAUGAAGGCCUUAGGGUUGUAAAGCUCUUUUGUCGGGGACGAUAAUGACGGUACCCGAAGAAUAAGCUCCGGCUAACUUCGUGCCAGCCGCCGCAGUAAAAC